GGCGCACUUCCUGUGUUCUGGGCUGGCCUUUUCCUCUCCCAGGUGCGCUUCCCUGCUUGAUCUGUGUACCCUGCUCUUUCUCCUUCAUUCCGCAGCCUCCUUUGCCCUGUGACCUGCAGGUACUGGACGGUCCCUAGAGAGGAUACCGGGACGCUCCUGAAGCCGCGAGAUGAGCCACCAUCACUCAUGUUCUUGAAUGGGAACUGCCUGGAGACCCUGAAGAAGAAGGAGCCUGAAGGAGGAAGGAGGAGGCUGAGCCAUCCCGGGAACAUGGGCUGGAUGAGGCCAAGCCAGGAGACGACACCACCAGAUAGAAGUCACCAUUCAGGAUUUGGACUUUUCUGUGGAGAUCCUGGCCCCGAGAUCGAACCCUUCUCCCUGUGGGUGUUCCCGCAGGAGAUGGUGCUGGAGAUCCACCAGCUGUUCAUGGACCAUGAAUACCCAUGUCACCACAUCACUUCUCACUGCACCUGGGUGGCAGCACACUGGACCACGUCUCAGAGCUGCGCAGCAUGGCAGGGCUGCAGGCGGGCUUGCUGCUCCACGUGGUGGAAGACGGCAGGAGCAGAAAGACUUGGAGAUGGACCCCACCGACUGCACACCACCCAAGUACAUCCUGCUAGGGACCCUGGAACAGCCACUGUGUCCCCUGCAACCCCAGAACGGUGACUAAAAGCCCCUGAAAGUGCUCACCGUGAGCGGCUGGUACCUGUCCCCUGGGAACUGCAAGAUGCACAGGACCUUGUGUACCUGUUUGUGAUCACAGCCGAGGACCAGCGAGGUAGCAUUACCACAUCCACACAGGGCUUUUACCAUAACUGCCCCAGUACUGGAACGAGGAGCUGCAGAUGAUGAGGGACCUACCCAACAAGAACCAACCUGAGCAGCUGCUUCAAGAAAAAGCCAUGUUCAAGGUGCCUGAAUCCCCUGGUAAGUGAGUGACAGCCUCACAGCCUCAGGCCCACCUGGCUCCUGCUGGAAGGUUUUCUUGUGCUCGGGAGAGAAGUGAGGGAAGCCGGCAGUCCCAGCCCUGUCAGGUGCCCUGAAGGCCCGUCAGGUUUGCCCUGCAAGGCCUUCUAGCAUUCUGCUUCCUGGGAGACCAUCCCCCACCUUUCUCCGGCCUCUGAGACUUUGAGUCCUUGGGAGGAGAAGGCCCUCCUUGCUAUCUGGGCUGAGUGGCCAGGGCCAUCCAGCUUCCCACCCUCCACUGACUGCCAUGGGGCCCUCCCCUGAGCACAUGGUGCCCAACUGUAGCCCUUCUAGGGCAGGGGCUCAUUGGCAGCACUUGCAGCUUGCUGGCACUUAAAAGUCAUUAGUGCGGUUACUGAGAGAAAUGAGGAAAAAAUAAUUGUUAAAAAAAAAAAAAAA
rnacentral:lncRNA from 1 species